rnacentral:rRNA from 1 species
UACGCCGCGUGCAGGAUGAAGGCCCUUGGGUUGUAAACUGCUUUUUUAAGAGGAAGAAUUUGUGACGGUACCUUAAGAAUAAGAGGUUACUAACUCUGUGCCAGCAGUAGCGGUAAUACAGAGACCUCAAGCGUUAUCCGGAUUCAUUGGGCGUAAAGAGCAUGUAGGCGGACAUAUUAGUCAGACGUCAAAUCUUCGAGCUCAACUCGAAAACUGCGUUUGAAACGGUAUGUCUGGAGAGAGUGAGAGACUGAUGGAACAUAUGGUGUAGCAGUGAAAUGCGUUGAUAUCAUAUGGAACACCAAAGGCGAAGGCAUUCAGUUGGCACUCUUCUGACGCUGAGAUGCGAAAGCGUGGGUAGCGAAUGGGAUUAGAUACCCCAGUAGUCCACGCUGUAAACGAUGCAUACUAGGUAUUACGAGAAUCGACCCUCGUAGUGUCGUAGCUAACGCGAUAAGUAUGCCGCCUGGGAAGUACGGCCGCAAGGCUAAAACUCAAAGGAAUAGACGGGGAUCCGCACAAGCGGUGGAGCAUGUGGUUUAAUUCGACGGUAAGCGAGAAACCUCACCAGGGCUUGAAACUAGACUGCAUUGUGGAGAAAUUCACAAGCCCUUCGAGGGUGUCUAGCAGGCGCUGCACGGUUGUCGUCAGCUCGUGUCGUAAGAUGUUCUGUCAAGUCAGGAAACGACGG